CAGCAGCCGCGGUAAUACGUAGGGUGCGAGCGUUGUCCGGAAUUAUUGGGCGUAAAGGGCUCGCAGGCGGUUUCUUAAGUCUGAUGUGAAAGCCCCCGGCUCAACCGGGGAGGGUCAUUGGAAACUGGGAAACUUGAGUGCAGAAGAGGAGAGUGGAAUUCCACGUGUAGCGGUGAAAUGCGUAGAGAUGUGGAGGAACACCAGUGGCGAAGGCGACUCUCUGGUCUGUAACUGACGCUGAGGAGCGAAAGCGUGGGGAGCGAACAGGAUUAGAUACCCCUGUAGUCCCUGUCUCUUAUAC
rnacentral:rRNA from 1 species